ACCGUUAGACGAGAAAAUGCCUCAUAUCGACCAAUAAAAUUACAAAUUUUGAAACCCUUUGAUCAUUAGGUCAAUAAUGUCGAAAAAAUUUAAAUUUGGUUUCUAGAUACUUCAAUUGGUAUAUAUCAUAUUCAACGGUGUCGAUCGUCGAUUUGGAGGCUUCAUCAUCGAAAACAAAUGGGUGUCAACGAAGUCCGUUUGCUACCGAUAGUAUUUCAACUCAA
rnacentral:lncRNA from 1 species